AGCUGUUUCUGCCCUCCUCCUCCUCCUCCUCCUCCGUCUCUGCUUUGAUUAUUGUUUGCUGCCCGGAGUGGACCGCUGGUGAUGGUUGAUUAUUGUCGUGGAGGGAUUAUUCGGUGGGGGUGGGGGUUUGCGUUGCGGGGUUUAAACCUACUGUACUCAACUUGGCAGGUCUGGAUGGGAUGGAGCUCUGCUCGGACUUGGCUGUGCGUCCAUCCACCACCACAUCUUCCUUCCGGUUGCUUCUUUCUUCACGAUAACGCGUACUGACAUGGGCCGCUCUCAUUCGCCGUCCGCGUUGCCGCAGCCCCCAAUUAUGCGGCUAUUCUAUUCGUCAUAGGAGCCGGCGUCGGGGGAGUGGAGCAGUACUCCUGGGCUCCCCGCCUUGCCGCUCUGCGCAUCGUGAGGGGCCGGCGUCCGGCGAGGGUGUCACGACGGGAAGCUCAGAGUGGAGAAGGGACCAAGGGACACGAGCACACGGCGCCGGACUCUGUUUCGGGAUUCUCUCUGUGUGCUUUUUCUCGUGAGCCGGGAAAGAUCCAGACGGCAGAAAUCAUAACGGAUCAUGGCUUUUGUUGUACUAGCUCCGAAUCUCGUGAGAUUUUCGCAGGACAAGCACAAGCUAGUGGCAUUCUACUGUUUUUUUUUCCAUAGCUCUAAAGUCAUAAUUCCAUGGAUUUUGUAACUUACAGGUUGUCUUUUUUUCUGUUUCAGAAAGAAGAAAAGAAAAACAGUUUUUUUAGA